AUCGCUUCUCGGCCUUUUGGCUCAGAUCAAGUGAGUAUCUGUUCUUAUCAGUUUAAUUGAUACGUCCCCCAUCGGGGACUACAUAUUAAAUGGAUUUUCCGAACAGGGGAGUCGGAAAUGGGGCUUGCUCCGUCCGCUCCACGCAUCGACCCGUAUUGUCAGUACCUCCGGAACGGUGCAACACUU